rnacentral:rRNA from 1 species
CCUACGGGAGGCAGCAGUGGGGAAUAUUGCACAAUGGGGGAAACCCUGAUGCAGCGACGCCGCGUGAGUGAAGAAGUAUUUCGGGAUGUAAAGCUCUAUCAGCAGGGAAGAAAAUGACGGUACCUGAUUAAGAAGCCCCGGCUAACGACGUGCCAGCAGCCGCGGUAAGACGUAGGGGGCAAGCGUUAGCCGGAGUGACUGGGUGUAAAGGGAGCGUAGACGGCAGCACAAGUCUGGAGUGAAAUGCCGGGGCUUAACCCCGGAACUGCUUUGGAAACUGUGCAGCUAGAGUGCAGGAGGGGUAAGUGGAAUUCCUAGUGUAGCGGUGAAAUGCGUAGAUAUUAGGAGGAACACCAGUGGCGAAGGCGGCUUACUGGACUGUAACUGACGUUGAGGCUCGAAAGCGUGGGGAGCAAACAGGAUUAGAUACCCGGGUAGUC